AAGCCACGUCACAGCCGGACUGGGCCAGGAGCCAGCUCUCCACUUCCGACUGCAGCCACCGGGAGGUCUCUGCUGGGUAGAGGCAGGUUCGUGCUCAGAUUCAUUCAGAAGGACCCAGGGGAGGAGGGACUGGGUGCAGAGGAAAUCGGAUUGACUAACUGUGGAAGCCGGAUGCCAGGUACCCAAGAGUUCAUCGCACUAUUUCUGCAGUUGGGUGAACUUUUAAAUGCUGAUAUCUUGUGCUCUGAGUAACUAAUUUAAAAAGAUGACAAUACAAAACGUAUUAACUAUU